ACUAUUUUUAAUAAAACGUAAUAUUAUUAUUCAUUAUAUUAAUUUAAUAUUAUUUUAUUAGAAUAAUAUGAUUUUAAUAUUUUUAUUGUUAAUUUAUUAUUAAAUUGAUAUUGUAUAUAUUAUUAGUCAACGAGUCAUAUAGUAUUCUGUAAACACAUAUAUUGUUAAUUGAUGUGUCAUUUGUAUAUAUUACUUAAUAACACUUGAAACCACUCGUAUCCGUAAACUCAUGUAUCCGCACACGCAACUACAACUUGUAAAUAAGUCAGAUCUUCAAUCUAAAGAUAUUUUAUGAUUAUAACUAUAAAACUAGAUCCUCGCCUACACUUUGAAAGAGCAUAAAUAUUUUUACAAAAAUUAAUUUACAAAAAUAUAUUUUUUGUUUUAAAUAUCUGUUUUUAUUUAUAUGUUGACUAGUUUGGUUUGUUUUAUUUUUCAUAAACACACUUAAUUUUGUUUGGAGUAAAUUUUAGGAUUUUAAAAAUAUAAUAGGUUUAUUUUAUUGAAUUUUGAUAACUUAGAAUUAUAUUUAAUUGUUAAAAUUUUAAAAAAUUAUCCUUGAAAUGGUACUUAUUUAUCUGUCUCUUAAUAUAAUUAUUAUUUGAAAUAAUAUACUUAUUACUUAAAGUGCCAUACAUCAGUUUAUUAUAGUUGAAAAUGUUUAAAUUUCCAAAUUUAAUCUAUAUAUAAUAGCAAACCUAAUUUUGUUCACAUCAACAUUUUUUUAUAGGAAAAAAAAAGUUUGAUCUAACGUUUGAGUUUAUCCUUACUUUAAAUCUAACGGACAUGAUUUAUUUUAAUCACAAAAUCUUACGUCAUCUAAUUGUUUCAACAGAUCGACGCACCUCUUCUCUGAUCGACACACCUCUUCUCUGAUGGACGCACCUUUUUACAGUGGCCUCUUUUGAUAAUGAAACGACACACCUUUUAAACUGGUUAGUAGAUUGAAGGAUUAGUAGAUUGAAGAACUGGUUUGAGCCAGCCCUUUUUUCAAAAAAAAAAAAAAGAACUGGUUUGAGCCGUUGUUUUUUUCUGAGAACACUUCUCAAUCCAAGUCCCAAGGAAAAGUUUUGGUUCAUCAUCAUGAUGUGCUCUAACCUGCCAAUUCAACGGCUACAAUUGAUUUCUAAUAGAUCUCGCCGCGAAUCUAAACCACCACCGCCGUCUCCAUUGAUGACGAGAAACCGACGUUAUAAAGUUGAUCAGAGAGAAGAGUAAGAAGUAGAAGAAGAAAGUUGUGGCGGUGACAACGCUGCCAUGGAUGGAAUUGAAAAGCUAAAAGUUCAGAAAAUAAGAUACAGAGGAUAGAUCAUGUCAUCUGAUGUUGAGGCUCAACUACGACGCCAACUCGGAAGUUUCGUCUGUUAAAGCUUCGCUGUUUCUUGGGUCGGAAGCUACCGGAGCAGACGUCAGUGUAUGUCUUUCUCUAACCAUAUUCCUCUCUCGCCGUAGAAAAUCUGUUUGCUUUUCUAAAUUAGUUUUAUAUUAAUUUCCCGUACUAGGUGUAGAGAUAUGUUUGACCAAAGUUUCCGAACGUAGAGAUGUGAUGUUUUUAGAUGUCAGUGAAUAGAUUGCAUAGAUGGUAGAUGUAUGCACAGGAUAAGGCGGUUAACUGGUUCAAACUAAUUAUCCAUUCCUUAUUUCACAUAUAUGUUCUUUUUAAUCUCUUGCAUGUUCUCAACUUCGGUUACAUGUUAUUUGUCUGAUUAGGCUGGUUCCAUAUCGAUGGCAAGAGAAUCUAGAUAUCUAUUGAAUAUUAUACGCUGUAGUCCGAGUAGGCUUUUUCUUGUGAAUGUGAUUGUAUUACGGAUCCAGCAUCACCCCUGGGACAGUACCGAUCAUCCUUGCUGGUAGGUUCAAGGGCAAGAGAGUUAUUUUUUUUGAACCAACUACCCUCUGUUUUUCUUUUUUGUGACCGGUGAGUUUUUCUAAUUCUGCCACGUUCUAUUAUCCAUCUUAAGCAUCCACUACUUGUGUCACCUGAUAUGUUCCUAUUUUUGUAAUUGGCCCUUCAAUAUCAAUGAUUGCCACAAACUGAAAGUCUCUGAUGUUAGCCUCGAUAAAUUUGAUGAUCAGUAUUUUGGAAAGGUAGCCGAGAAGAAGACCAAGAAGGGAGAAGGAGAGUACGAUGGAGCCGUGGAUGUAUAUCUCUGAAUUAUACUUUCCUUUUGUUAUUCUCAGAUUGUAAGCAGUACAAACCUGAGCACAAAUCCUAAGCAAAUUGCUUAAAGAUCCAAACAGACUGCAUAAAAACCCAAAGGCAAAAGGCAAAUAAGUCUACUAUUUAUACUACUCAAGUUUAUUGUUUUCUGCUACACUUCAAUCUCAAGCUCUCCCUUGUACUUCUUCACUUGUUUCCUCUUCCUCUGCGUGUUGCCUUCCUCUCGUGUCCGUACGUAUACACUCCAAGGUCUAUCAGAGUUUUCGAGGCAGAGAGAAAGAAAGUGUCUACACAAGGGAAAAAACGACCAGAAGGCUGUGGAUGGAGCUUUGAUCAAAGCCAUUGAGGUAGUUUCAGAGUUGAAUAUUUGCCUUGGCACAAGGUUUUCAUUGCACAAGGAAUGAAGCCGCAUAAGCUUGUUUUUUAGAUUUUAAAAACCUUUUAUGAGCAUUUAGAGUAUAUGUGCCCUCAUGUGUUACUACUUUUUUGUUCUUGUCCACCUGCCAGAGAUAUUUUGACUUGUACAUUCUAUAUAUCACAUUUGGUAUAAACAAUCUAUCUUAUUUAAUUUGAACUUUGAAGCAAUAUUUUUCAAUA